rnacentral:rRNA from 1 species
UACAGAGGUCCCGAGCGUUGUUCGGAUUCAUUGGGCGUAAAGGGUGCGUAGGCGGCGGGGCAAGUCUGAUGUGAAAUCCCGGGGCUCAACCCCGGAACUGCAUUGGAUACUGCCUUGCUAGGGUACUGGAGAGGGAACUGGAAUUUACGGUGUAGCAGUGAAAUGCGUAGAGAUCGUAAGGAAGGCCAGUGGCGAAGGCGAGUUCCUGGACAGUUACUGACGCUGAGGCACGAAGGCCAGGGAGCAAACGGG